CAGUCGCCGCGGGAAUACGGAGGGCGCGAGCGUUACCCGGAUUUACUGGGCGUAAAGGGCGUGUAGGCGGCCUGGGGCGUCCCAUGUGAAAGGCCACGGCUCAACCGUGGAGGAGCGUGGGAUACGCUCAGGCUAGAGGGUGGGAGAGGGUGGUGGAAUUCCCGGAGUAGCGGUGGAAUGCGCAGAUACCGGGAGGAACGCCGAUGGCGAAGGCAGCCACCUGGUCCACUUCUGACGCUGAGGCGCGAAAGCGUGGGGAGCAAACCGGAUUAGAUACCCGCGUAGUCCUGUCUCUUAUACC
rnacentral:rRNA from 1 species